rnacentral:lncRNA from 1 species
AUGUUGCUCAGCUGUUUGCCGGUCGUCGUCCUCCUCCUCCUGGCAACUGCCUCCGAAGGAACGACAGAGUACAAUGCCGCCACCACCACCGAUGUGGGAUUAACCAAUGAGACAUCCACCACUGCUGCAGCCUAUUCCACGGCUGUAGAAGCGACCAGCGACAAUGGAACCAGCGGUUUUACAACUUCACUUCCACUGACUACAGAGCAGCUCACAGCUUCAGCAACAACCGUAGGAAACGCCACAACAGAAUCUGCAACUGUGGAAUCAAACGUCACCAGUGCACAGACGACUCUCUCCCAUCCGAACAACAGCACCGGGACUACCACAGAAACCGUCAGCGGCAACGCAACUGACAAUAACUUCACCACUUGGAGCCCAACGCAAUCUGCGUCAUCUCCGUCCAAUGCCACAGUGCUGUCCACUACCAGCGCAGAGACCAGCGCCACCAACACGAGUGAGACGACAAGUACAACAACUGCACCUUCUUCAGCUCACACACUGACCAGCAAUGGCACAACAAUGUCUACACAAGUCACACACACAAGCAACAACACCACUAUGACUACACCAAGCAACAACACCACUAUGACUACACCAGGCAACAACACCACUAUGACUACACCAAGCAACAACACCACAAUGACUACAUCAAGCAACAACACAACAAUGACUACAUCAAGCAACUACACAACAAUGACUACACCAGGCAACAAUGCCACUAUGACUACACCGAGCAACAACACCACUAUGACUACACCAAGCAACAACACCACUAUGACUACACCAGGCAACAACAAUGCCACAAUGACUACACCAGGCAACAACAACAUCACUAUGACUACACCAAGCAACAACAACACAACGACUACACCAAGUAACAACACGACGACUACACCAAGCAACAACACAACGACUACACCAAGCAACAACAUAACGACUACACCAAGCAACAACAUAACAAUGACUACACCCGCCACACAAACGACCAACAACACAACCCCAUUUACAGCCACAACACAAACCAGCAACAGCACAACAACCACACGUCCAGUAACACCAGACAACUCCACAUCUGUAGUUACCACCACUACGCCCACAAACUCCACUCUCACCUCCCCUGAGACCCCCCAACCUCGUCCUCCACCAUCAGCAGCAAUGCAACAGUCGGACCCCCACCCACUACACCUACUUUCAACUCCACCUCCGUCCCUCCAAACACCUCCCCCGGCAGUAGCGCCGCAACCCCCACCGGAAACACCACCACCCUUAGUCCCUCAGCAACAACCACCGGAGUCACCACGAGUUCAACUGAACCAGGCAAUGCCACCACAGCCUCAUCCACCACCGCCGCCGUCACCACCACCACCAACACCGUCACCAACUCCACCACGGCAGCUCCGCCCAUCAUCCCCACCCUGA